UGAUCUUGUAUCGGGAAGAGCUUCGUCAUUUCCAAAGAACAUAGCCGCCGUCCUCAUGUCCCUUCAUCACUAGAGAAGACUUCUUAACCACAGAAGUCUAGGCUGAGCUGCACCCUUGUUGGGUGUCGCCUCGAGCCCGCAGGGCUCGCAAGCGCGAAUGCGCGUCCGAGCUUAUGCGAGGGAAGCCAAGCCGGCGGAUGUCGGCGCCGGCGCUUGAGGCACAACAAAUAACGGGGCCUUAGCUCAGCUGGGAGAGCGGUUGCUUUGCAAGCAUCAGGUCAUCGGUUCGAUCCCGAUAGGCUCCACCAUUUGCUGCGCAAAUGGUUUUGUUUGCUGGGUGCUCAAUCGCCGCCGGCUGCGUCCGCAGCCUUGGCUUGCGCGGCAUAAGCCGCGGCGCGCAUUCGCGCUUGCGAACCUUCGGUUCGUUGGAGCGUCGAUCGGGCGAUCAUCAAAUUCUCUAGAGAUGAAGAAAACGCUUUCCACCGGCUUGACCGGUGGUUCGGGGCGGCCUGAUGGCGCGCCUCUCUUUGACAUUGUGAAUGGGUUUUUUAAUCGAUGCCGUGGCGACGCGGAUCGGUUUGGGCGGUCUUCGGGCCACCUGGAACGAUCGUGUCGUACUCAAAUAAAUCUGGCUGAGAUUAACAUCCGCAUGAUCGACGGUGACCUGAACAG
rnacentral:tRNA from 1 species